rnacentral:rRNA from 1 species
CUACGUGCCAGCAGCCGCGGUAAUACGUAGGUCCCGAGCGUUGUCCGGAUUUAUUGGGCGUAAAGCGAGCGCAGGCGGUUAGAUAAGUCUGAAGUUAAAGGCUGUGGCUUAACCAUAGUACGCUUUGGAAACUGUUUAACUUGAGUGCAAGAGGGGAGAGUGGAAUUCCAUGUGUAGCGGUGAAAUGCGUAGAUAUAUGGAGGAACACCGGUGGCGAAAGCGGCUCUCUGGCUUGUAACUGACGCUGAGGCUCGAAAGCGUGGGGAGCAAACAGGAUUAGAUACCCUGGUAGUCCACGCCGUAAACGAUGAGUGCUAGGUGUUAGACCCUUUCCGGGGUUUAGUGCCGUAGCUAACGCAUUAAGCACUCCGCCUGGGGAGUACGGCCGCAAGGUUAAAACUCAAAUGAAUUGACGGGGGCCCGCACAAGCGGUGGAGCAUGUGGUUUAAUUCGAUGCAACGCGAAGAACCUUACCUACUCUUGACAUCCAGAGAAUUCGCUAGAGAUAG